UACAGAGGUCCCAAGCGUUGUUCGGAUUCACUGGGCGUAAAGGGUGCGUAGGCGGUCGGGUAAGUCUGAUGUGAAAUCUCACAGCUUAACUGUGAAACUGCAUUGGAUACUAUCCGGCUCGAGGAAUGGAGGGGAGACUGGAAUACUUGGUGUAGCAGUGAAAUGCGUAGAUAUCAAGUGGAACACCAGUGGCGAAGGCGAGUCUCUGGACGUUUCCUGACGCUGAGGCACGAAAGCCAGGGGAGCAAACGGG
rnacentral:rRNA from 1 species